CUAGCAUUGCUUGCAAUAGACUUUCAUAUAAGGGUGUUUCUUUUCUUCUCAAGUAUCACAAUUAGUUUGUAGCCUGAAAAUAUUUCCAGGGUAAUCUUGCCCAUGGGCAAUGGAAGAUGUGGACUCAAAAUAGUUGUGACUUUGAUAUAACACUCUGCCAAAUCGUGUGAUGCACAUUCUACGUGUAAUAUUGGUUAUAUCAAGCCUUCAUUUACUGCUUAAAGAUCUAUGUUCAAAUGGAAAUACCUGACUGAGUCUCAGUGCCAAUAUAUCGUCUGCUUUCCUGAUAUCCUACUUCCGUUAAUGGUAUUAUGUGGAUACAUGAAGUCUCUCUAAUGACAAGAAUUGAAAGAAGCGUGGAACUAUUUGUUAGUCUAGGAUUUAACUGUUUUAUUUCUGUGUAAUCAUUAAUGUUCUAGGCCUAAUGGAUAAGAAGACUGUUGUCGAAGUCACUCCCACCAGUUAAAUGUAAACAAACGUCAAUGCUAACCGGUCAAGUGUGGUCCAAGUACUUCCUGAAGCUGCCUGGACCAAUAGAAAAUAAUCCAGAACCAUAUUCAGGUGAUCAUAAUGGAAGUAUAACAUGACAUCAAAUUUAACAAGAGCUGCAGCAAUAAAAAGAC